rnacentral:lncRNA from 10 species
CGGCAACCCACUCGGGUCCCCUUCCACGCUGUGGGAGCUUUGUUCUUUUGCUCUUCACAAUAAAUCUUGCUGCUGCUCACUCUUUGGGUCCACACUGCCUUUAUCAGCUGUAACACUCACCGUGAGGGUCCGUGGCUUCAUUCCUCAAGUCAGCGAGAUCACAAACCCACCAGAAGGAACAAAUAACUCCAGACACACCACCUUUAAGAGCUGUAACACUCACUGCGAAGGUCUGCAGCUUCACUCCUGAAGUCAGCGAGACCACGAACCUACUGGAAGGAAGAAACUCCGGACACAUCCGAACAUCUGAAGGAACAAAUUACAGACAAACCAUCUUUAAGAGCUGUAACACUCACCAUGAAGGUCCACGGCUUCAUCCCUGAAGUCAGCAAGACCAAGAACCCACCAGAAGGACUAAAUUCCGGACACAAUAACACCAGCAUUUUAGGAGCUGGAAGAUGGUGGAAUGGCAAGCAACUUCAGAUGAAUUCCCUAGCCAGCAGUGAGGAAACAUUCACUAACAGAGCAGAAUCCCCCCUGCAGGAAUUCACAACAUUGUGUAUCUUUCCGAGUAGUGGCACAGGGACCAAGAGGAGGCCCAGGAAAAGGAGAGGAAACACAAGAAAAAGGCAGAGAGAGGGAUACCUUGAAAUGGAAUGCAGGCCUGGGACUCCAUAAGCCUGCUGUUCCAGCCAGCCUGGACACAAUUGCAGAAACUAGUUGUUUUACUAAGGCUUUGACUGGAAGGAUAUGCUUCCCUUUGAGGAAUCAAGCUUGGCGUACAGAGCCAAUAAAAGCCCCUUGGGGAAACUGGCUUCAUACCUUGUCUAUACAGUCCCUGUACAGGGUUCCUAACCUGUGGCUAUCAAGCUCCAAAUGGUAAUGCAAAUGAAAUCACACAUGGACACGCCUUUCUUCCAAGGACUCUCAGACCAGCCCUAGGAGGAAUCGUAGCUGCUGUUCCCCACACAAAGCUACUCUGUAGCAGCAAGUAGCCGCAAGGCUCAUCGCCCCAUCUCCCUAACAGCACUUAGGGUCUCCACUCCUGAGGCGGGGGGGGGGGAAAUGAAAGAGUAGAAAGGAAGAAACUGAUUAGGCAGGCAGUUAGCUGGGUCCUCAGUUGAAUUAUUUCAAACAGAAGAACAACCUGCAAGCACAGAUAAGGGAACCUGCAUAGGAGGGCUUGCCUAAGAUAUGCCCACAGCCACACAGAUAAGAAAGCCUACACAGGUGACUUGCCUGGACACGCCUGCAAUGGAAAAUUCUGUCCCCUGACACAUGCACGGUAAGGGGAACAAAGCAAUAUGGAGUGACUCAAGCUAAGGACCUACAUGCGCACUAGGAGGAUAGGGUGGAGCUAGCAGAAGUUUGUGCCUUAUGCAAAUGAGAUGCCAAGGCCUCAUCAGUUUCUUAUAAAAGCCUUUACAUUCAACUGUUAAAAUGGCUAUCCUCUUCUGGACCCCCCUCCAUGGCAGAGAGCUUUCUUUUUUUGCUUAUUAAACGUUCACUCCAACCUCAUCCUUUGUGACCACGCUUCUUAAAUUUCUUGGUCAUG